rnacentral:rRNA from 1 species
UCCGAGGGGGCAACCCCUGAUCCGCAACGCCGCGUGAGCGAAGAAGGCCUUCGGGCCGUAAAGCCCUCUUGUCAGGGAAGAAACACCGGCUCUAACACAGUCCGGGAAUGACGGUACCUGAAGAAUAAGCACCGGCUAACUACGUGCCAGCAGCCGCGGUAAUACGUAGGGUGCAAGCGUUAAUCGGAAUUACUGGGCGUAAAGCGUGCGCAGGCGGUUAUACAAGACAGGCGUGAAAUCCCCGGGCUUAACCUGGGAAUGGCGCCUGUGACUGUAUAGCUAGAGUGUGUCAGAGGGGGGUAGAAUUCCACGUGUAGCAGUGAAAUGCGUAGAUAUGUGGAGGAAUACCAAUGGCGAAGGCAGCCCCCUGGGAUAACACUGACGCUCAUGCACGAAA